AAGAUUUUAAGUUAUAUAAACUAUUAACCUUCAAAGUUUAAAAUACAUUAAGUAAAUCUUA
rnacentral:tRNA from 1 species